UAAGUAGAAUAAAUGAUCGCGGCUGUACAGACGUAAGGGUACAGGUGAGGAAAGUCCGGGCUUCAUAGGGCAGGAUGCCGGAUAACGUCCGGUGGAGGUGACUCCAAGGCUAGUGCAAUAGAAAAGAAACCGCCAUACUGAAUCUCCGGGUUCAGUGGAAGCUGUGAAGCAGCUUCUGUAGUAUUGUUGAACAAUGCGUGAGCAUUGCGAAACAAUACUACUGGUAAGGGUGGAAUGGCAGUGUAAGAGACUACCGCUGCAACGGUAACGGUGCAGGCUGUGUAAACCCCAUCCGAAGCAAGACCGAAACGAAAGCGACAGAUUUGCCCGAUCUGCUUUCAGGUGGGUCGCUUGAGGCAUCCGGUAACGGAUGUCCUAGAUAGAUGAUCAUUCACGACAUAACCCGGCUUAUCGUUCUGCUUAGUUC
rnacentral:RNase_P_RNA from 1 species